GACGAACGCNNGCGNCGUGCCUAAUACAUGCAAGUAGAACGCUGAAGGAGGAGCUUGCUUCUCUGGAUGAGUUGCGAACGGGUGAGUAACACGUAGGUAACCUGCNUGGUAGCGGGGGAUAACUAUUGGAAACGAUAGCUAAUACCGCAUAAGAGUAGAUGUUGCAUGACAUUUGCUUAAAAGGUGCAAUUGCAUCACUACCAGAUGGACNUGCGUUGUAUUAGCUAGUUGGUGAGGUAACGGCUCACCAAGGCAACGAUACAUAGCCGACCUGAGAGGGUGAUCGGCCACACUGGGACUGAGACACGGCCCAGACUCCUACGGGAGGCAGCAGUAGGGAAUCUUCGGCAAUGGACGGAAGUCUGACCGAGCAACGCCGCGUGAGUGAAGAAGGUUUUCGGAUCGUAAAGCUCUGUUGUAAGAGAAGAACGAGUGUGAGAGUGGAAAGUUCACACUGUGACGGUAUCUUACCAGAAAGGGACGGCUAANUACGUGCCAGCAGCCGCGGUAAUACGUAGGUCCCCAGCGUUGUCCGGAUUUAUUGGGCGUAAAGCGAGCGCAGGCGGUUAGAUAAGUCUGAAGUUAAAGGCUGUGGCUUAACCAUAGUACGCUUUGGAAACUGUUUAACUUGAGUGCAAGAGGGGAGAGUGGAAUUCCAUGUGUAGCGGUGAAAUGCGUAGAUAUAUGGAGGAACACCGGUGGCGAAAGCGGCUCUCUGGCUUGUAACUGACGCUGAGGCUCGAAAGCGUGGGGAGCAAACAGG
rnacentral:rRNA from 1 species